UAGGGAAUAUUGGUCAAUGGGCGAAAGCCUGAACCAGCCAUGCCGCGUGAGUGAUGAAGGCCUUCGGGUCGUAAAACUCUUUUCUGAGGGAAGAACAUCCGGGAUAGGAAAUGAUCUCGGCUUGACGGUACCUCAGGAAUAAGCAACGGCUAACUCCGUGCCAGCAGCCGCGGUAAUACGGAGGUUGCAAGCGUUGUUCGGAAUAACUGGGCGUAAAGGGAGCGCAGGCGGUUUGGUAAGUUCAAAGUGAAAGCCCGGGGCUUAACCUCGGAAGUGCUUUGAAUACUGCCUUACUCGAGUUCGUGAGAGGAAAGCGGAAUUCCAGGUGUAGCGGUGAAAUGCGUAGAUAUCUGGAGGAACACCGGUGGCGAAAGCGGCUUUCUGGCGCGAUACUGACGCUGAGGCUCGAAAGCGUGGGGAGCGAACG
rnacentral:rRNA from 1 species